ACAGAUCAACCCUAAUUUUACGUGCAGGUAAUCAUCAUCCAUAUUCACUGCCUUAUGUUUCAUGUCUUUUUCUGCAUUUUUAUUUCCUUCUCUCCUAUUUUCAUUUAGAAAAAUAUUCGGUAUCCAGAGGGAGAAAAUAAGAUAAGAAAGGGAAAUAAUGUGAUAUAUAAUGUGUGUGUACUAUUAAGUGUUUAAUUUCUCAUAUGCUGAGUCACAAGUUUUCAUUAUAUAUAUAGUUACAUUCUCUCCCAUAUCUCAUGCCACUAUUCAAGCUGUGAGUUGAGUCCUCCCUCAGCUCAGCUUCCUCGGCCAGUCUCUGGGUUUUCAUUUCACCAUGUCCUGCUUGCUUGAGGAAAUUAUCUCAGUGCUCUUUGACAUGGCCUCUCAAGGUGGCAAAGUUCAAAAGCAAAAGAAAGUGUGGUAAACAUUGUGGCUAUAUCUCUCCUGAGCUUAUUCUUCUUAUGUUUUUGUUUUAAUUUUUUGAAGUUUAUGAAUAAUUUUCAAGUUUUCUUGACCUUGCAAGUCCAAGAACUUAAUAACAUGGGUCAAGAAUACUUGAAAUAUUCUUAAGAAGAGUAUCAUGUAACAUUUAUCUUAGCUUCUUAGUUUUUUUUUUUCCUUUCUAAAUGUAUAUGUAAUGUCUUUUAUAUGACAAAUGUAUUCAUUGGUUCAAGGCUUGAAACAGUUACUGUAAGGAAAUUUGAUCUCUUAUAUAUUUGAUUUGAU
rnacentral:lncRNA from 1 species